AGAAGUUAAAUAAGGUUGGUUCGUAUAACUUCGAGAAUAAGGCUCGAAAGUUCCUACCAAAUGGCCGUAAACCAUUUGACUACGAAUUUUGAUGGUAGUUGA
rnacentral:ncRNA from 2 species